UACAGAGGUCCCAAGCGUUGUUCGGAUUCACUGGGCGUAAAGGGUGCGUAGGUGGUGAGGUAAGUCGGAUGUGAAAUCUCCAAGCUCAACUUGGAAACUGCAUUGGAAACUACCUUGCUAGAGGAUUUGAGGGGGGAUUGGAAUACUUGGUGUAGCAGUGAAAUGCGUAGAGAUCCGGAGGAACACCAGAGGCGAAGGCGGCCUACUGGGCUGCACCUGACGCUGAGCCGCGAAAGCCAGGGGAGCGAACGGG
rnacentral:rRNA from 1 species